CCGUAUUAUAGCGAGGAUCUCCAUAGAUGGGUUAUGGCCAGUCCGUAUUAUAGCGAGGAUCCCCAUAGAUGGGUUAUGGCCAGUCAGUAUUACAGCGAGGACCUCCAUGGAUGGGUUAUGGCCAGUCCGUAUUAUAGCACGGAUCCCCAUAGAUGGGUUAUGGCCAGUCCGUAUUAUAGCGAGGAUCUCCAUAGAUGGGUUAUGGCCAGUCCGUGUUACAGCGAGGAUCUCCAUAGAUGGGUUAUGGCCAGUCCGUGUUAUAGCGAGGAUCUCCAUAGAUGGGUUAUGGCCAGUCCGUGUUACAGCGAGGAUCUCCAUAGAUGGGUUAUGGCCAGUCCGUGUUACAGCGAGGAUCUCCAUAGAUGGGUUAUGGCCAGUCCGUAUUAUAGCGAGGAUCUCCAUAGAUG